rnacentral:sRNA from 1 species
AAAUUUCCUGCUCUGUAGGGCGAAAGGUGGCAAAAAGCCUGCAAUAUCGAAUGGGUCAAAGCGUAGCAAGUCUGUGGCGGUAAAAAAAGCGCGAUGUCAGCAUAGGGGGUAUGCCGCAUCGCGCCGUCAAAGAAAAACAGGUUUGUUAACUCAUUUUAUUAUGACGUAAAA